GAAGGUGGCGCUUGGUUAUUCUACUGAUAGCCAAAAGUCAGUCGUAUAAUCAACGUGCCGCACUCAC
rnacentral:pre_miRNA from 1 species